rnacentral:rRNA from 1 species
CGCAGCGGCCUCGCAAGUCCCUUGGAAGAGGGCGCCGGAGAGGGUGAGAGCCCCGUGGCGAGGCGCGGUGUGUUGUGCGAUUUGCGUUCGAAGAGUCGGGCUGUUUGAGAUCGCAGCCCAAAGCGGGAGGUAAAUUUCUUCCAAAGCUAAGUAUGGGCGGGAGACCGAUAGUGGAAAAGUAGAGCGAUCGAAAGAUGAAAAGAACUUUGAAAAGAGAGUGAAAAGGACCUGAAAUUGUUGAAAGGGAAGAGAUUCGCGGCAGUGGGAACGGUGCGGCGUGGCGAACAACGCGACGCGGCACGGUCUGCAUGGCUUGCCGGCGCCGGAGACGGUCCGCGGAACAAGGUAGGCAUCUCUGCGGAGUGCUGUUAUAGAUCUGGGGACGGUGCGGGCGCGCGGGGAGCGAGGAGGUUAGGAGAUGCAGGCGAAAUGGCGCGAAUCAUCCCGUCU